rnacentral:rRNA from 1 species
AACGAACGCUGGCGGCAUGCCUAACACAUGCAAGUCGAACGAGACCUUCGGGUCUAGUGGCGCACGGGUGCGUAACGCGUGGGAACCUGCCCUUAGGUUCGGAAUAACUCCCCGAAAGGGGUGCUAAACCGGAUAAUGUUUUUGGACCAAAGAUUUAUCGCCUUUGGAUGGGCCCGCGUUGGAUUAGCUAGUUGGUAGGGUAAAAGCCUACCAAGGCGACGAUCCAUAGCUGGUCUGAGAGGAUGAUCAGCCACACUGGGACUGAGACACGGCCCAGACUCCUACGGGAAGCAGCAGUGGGGAAUAUUGGACAAUGGGCGAAAGCCUGAUCCAGCAAUGCCGCGUGAGUGAUGAAGGCCUUAGGGUUGUAAAGCUCUUUUACCCGGGAUGAUAAUGACAGUACCGGGAGAAUAAGCGCCGGCUAACUCCGUG